UACGUAGGUGGCAAGCGUUACUCGGAAUCACUAGGUGUAAAGCGCAGGUAGGAGGUUGGAUAAGUCUGUUGUGAAGGCUCCCGGCUUAACUGGGAGAGGCCAACGGAAACUAUUCGGCUGGAGUGCGGUAGAGGUAGCUGGAAUUCCCGGUGUAGCGGUGAAAUGCGUAGAUAUCGGGAGGAAUACCUAUGGCGAAAGCAGGCUACUGGACCGUCACUGACUCUGAUCUGCGAAAGCUAGGGGAGCAAACAGG
rnacentral:rRNA from 1 species